UACGUAGGGCGCAAGCGUUAUCCGGAAUUAUUGGGCGUAAAGAGCUCGUAGGCGGUUUGUCGCGUCUGCCGUGAAAGUCCGGGGCUCAACCUCGGGCCUGCAGCCGAUACGGGCAGACUAGAGUUCGGCAGGGGAGACUGGAAUUCCUGGUGUAGCGGUGAAAUGCGCAGAUAUCAGGAGGAACACCGGUGGCGAAGGCGGGUCUCUGGGCCGAUACUGACGCUGAGGAGCGAAAGCGUGGGGGAGCGAACAGG
rnacentral:rRNA from 1 species